rnacentral:rRNA from 1 species
GCAGGCUGCAACUCGCCUGCAUGAAGUUGGAAUUGCUAGUAAUCGCGGAUCAGCAUGCCGCGGUGAAUACGUUCCCGGGCCUUGUACACACCGCCCGUCACACCAUGGGAGCCGGUAAUACCCGAAGUCAGUAGCCUAACCGCAAGGGGGCGCUGCCGAAGGUAGGAUUGGCGACUGGGGUGAAGUCGUAACAAGGUACC